AUGGCGCCUCCAGUGCGGCCAUCCAAUGCCACGCUUCUUGCGCGGCUCGGGGAGGGCACGGCCAGGUUCGAGCUCCUCGAGGACCCCGUGCUUGCUCCCGCGCUGCCGGUUUGGCCCCGCCUCCACUGCUUCGCCAGGAUUGGCUCCUCGCUGAGGGGCGGGUGGUCGGCGGCGUUGAACAAGGUGGAGCACUACGGGGUCCAGAGAGUCACCGGCGAUGGCCGGUGCAUGUUUCGAGCCUUGGCUAAGGGAAUGGCAAAGACCAGGGGAAUUCCAUUGACCCCAAGGGAGGAGGUGCAAGACGCAGACGACCUACGGCUGGCAGUGAAAGAGGUUAUAUGUGAUAACCAAACCGAGCGUCAAAAGUAUGAAGAGGCGAUUAUAGCUAUUACAGUGGAUGAAUCUUUGAAACGCUACUGCCAAAGGAUAAGGCGACCUGAUUUCUGGGGUGGAGAGUCAGAACUCUUGGUUUUGUCUAGACUGUGUCGGCAACCAAUCAUUAUUUACAUUCCGGAGCGUGAGUACCGUGGACGGGGCAACGGGUUCAUCCCAAUUGCUGAGUACGGAUUGGAGUUUACCAAAGACUCGAAAGAGGGGAAGAAACGGGUGCCGGUGAGACUAUUAUACAGUGGGAAGAACCAUUAUGAUCUGCUGAUAUAA
rnacentral:rRNA from 1 species